rnacentral:rRNA from 1 species
UACGUAGGGUGCGAGCGUUGUUCGGAAUUACUGGGCGUAAAGGGCGCGUAGGCGGCCUACUAAGUCGGACGUGAAAUCCCUCGGCUCAACCGGGGAACUGCGUCCGAUACUGGUGGGCUCGAAUCCGGGAGAGGGAUGUGGAAUUCCAGGUGUAGCGGUGAAAUGCGUAGAUAUCUGGAGGAACACCGGUGGCGAAGGCGGCAUCCUGGACCGGCAUUGACGCUGAGGAGCGAAAGCCAGGGGAGCAAACGGG